rnacentral:rRNA from 1 species
AGUCUUUUGAUUUUUUAUAAAAGAUGGUUUCUGCUCAGUGUUUUAAAUAAACAGCCGCGGUAAUUUGACCGUGCAAAGGUAGCAUAAUUAUUUGCUCUAUAAUUGAGGGCUAGAAUGAAUGGAAGAACAAGAUGUCUGCUUUAUUUUUUAGAAAAAAAGAAUUUUCUUUUUUAGUUAAGAAGCUAAAAUUUAUUUGAGGGACAAGAAGACCCUUUUGAGCUUUAUUAGUGGUGUUUUUUUUAAAUAUUAUUACUUUGGUUGGGGCGACCAAGGAAGAAAAGAUCUUCUUUUAAGCACAUUGAUCCGGUGUUUCCGAGAAAUGAAUUAAGUUACCAAAGGGAUAACAGCGUAAUUUUUUUUAUGAGUUCUUAUUAAAAAAAAAGAUUGCGACCUCGAUGUUGACUUAUGGUUUCCUUUUGGUGCAGUAGCUAUUAGGGUGGGUCUGUUCGACCUUUAAAACCUUACGUGAGUUGAGUUCAGACCGGUGUGA